CCCGCUGAACUUAAGCAUAUCAAUAAGCGGAGGAAAAGAAACUAACAAGGAUUCCCCUAGUAACUGCGAGUGAAGCGGGAAAAGCUCAAAUUUAAAAUCUGGUGGCCUCCGGUCAUCCGAGUUGUAAUUUAGAGAAGCGUCUUCCGCGCUGGACCAUGCAUAAGUCUCCUGGAAUGGAGCGUCAUAGAGGGUGAGAAUCCCGUCUUUGGCAUGGACCCCCAGGGCUUCUGUGAUGCGCUCUCAAAGAGUCGAGUUGUUUGGGAAUGCAGCUCAAAAUGGGUGGUGAACUCCAUCUAAAGCUAAAUAUUGGCGAGAGACCGAUAGCGAACAAGUACCGUGAGGGAAAGAUGAAAAGCACUUUGGAAAGAGAGUGAAACAGUACGUGAAAUUGUUGAAAGGGAAACGCUUGAAGUCAGUCGCGUCGGCCGGGACUCAGCCUUGCUAUCUUGCUUGGUGCACUUCUCGGUCGACGGGUCAGCAUCAAUUUCGAUCCUUGGAUAAUGGCAAGGGAAAGGUAGCACCUUUACAGGUGUGUUAUAGUCCUUUGUCGGAUGCAAGGGUUGGGAUUGAGGAACUCAGCACGCACCUCAUCGGUGUCGGGGCCUUUUGGCCUACGUUACGUGCUUAGGAUGCUGGCAUAAUGGCUUUAAACGACCCGUCUUGAAACACGG
rnacentral:rRNA from 1 species